GUGGGGAAUAUUGGUCAAUGGGGGAAACCCUGAACCAGCAACGCCGCGUGAAGGAAGAAGGCUUUCGGGUUGUAAACUUCUUUGACAGGGGACGAAACAAAUGACGGUACCCUGAAAACAAGCCACGGCUAACUACGUGCCAGCAGCCGCGGUAAUACGUAGGUGGCAAGCGUUGUCCGGAUUUACCGGGUGUAAAGGGCGUGUAGGCGGUCCGGUAAGUCAGAUGUGAAAUGUAGGGGAGCAACCCCUGAACUGCAUUUGAAACUAUCGUUCUUGAGUGAUGGAGAGGCAGGCGGAAUUCCGUGUGUAGCGGUGAAAUGCGUAGAUAUACGGAGGAACACCAGUGGCGAAGGCGGCCUGCUGGACAUUAACUGACGCUGGGGCGCGAAAGCGUGGGGAGCAAACAGGAUUGGAUACCCGUGUAGUCC
rnacentral:rRNA from 1 species